UGAAGAGCAGCAACAUCCUUCUCAGAACUGACGGUUCUGUCAAGCUGGCUGAUUUUGGCCUCUCUACUCAGCUCAACUCUGAGCAGAGCAGAUGGUGCUCACUAACCGGGACUCCUUGGUGGAUGGCGCCUGAAGUGGUGACAGCAUCUGCUCUAGUUUUGGUUGCAUCAGCUCAACACCUGAUAGCCACAGUGGGGACCCCAAAGCUGCAGCAGCCCAAGCUCCUCUCAGCUUUGCUGCGUGACUUCCUGAGCUGCUGCCUGCAGAGAGAUGA